rnacentral:rRNA from 1 species
GACGAACGCUGGCGGCGUGCCUAAUACAUGCAAGUCGAGCGGAGUUAUUCCUUCGGGGAUGACUUAGCGGCGGACGGGUGAGUAACACGUAGGCAACCUGCCUGUAAGACUGGGAUAACUACCGGAAACGGUAGCUAAGACCGGAUACACAACUUGGUCGCAUGCCUAAGUUGGGAAAAGCGGAGCAAUCUGCUACUUACAGAUGGGCCUGCGGCGCAUUAGCUAGUAGGUGGGGUAACGGCUCACCAAGGCGACGAUGCGUAGCCGACCUGAGAGGGUGAACGGACACACUGGGACUGAGACACGGCCCAGACUCCUACGGGAGGCAGCAGUAGGGAAUCUUCCGCAAUGGACGCAAGUCUGACGGAGCAACGCCGCGUGAGUGAUGAAGGUUUUCGGAUCGUAAAGCUCUGUUGCCAGGGAAGAACGCUAUGGAGAGUAACUGCUCUGUAGGUGACGGUACCUGAGAAGAAAGCCCCGGCUAACUACGUGCCAGCCGCCGCAGUAA